CAAUAGCGUAUAUUAAAGUUGUUGCAGUUAAAAAGCUCGUAGUUGGAUUUGUGGCGUACGGUGUGUUCCGGGCACUUGUUGUCUGAGUAACCUGCUGUUGCCAUCCUUGGUUGGAACCUGUGUGGCAUUAGGUUGUCGUGCAGGGGAUGCCCAUCAUUUACUGUGAAAAAAUUAGAGUGUUCAAAGCAGGCUUAUGCCGUUGAAUAUAUUAGCAUGGAAUAAUGAGAUAGGACUUUUUUGCUAUUUUGUUGGUUUGCGCAAAGAGGUAAUGAUUAAUAGGGACAGUUGGGGGUAUUCGUAUUCCAUUGUCAGAGGUGAAAUUCUUGGAUUUUUGGAAGACGAACUACUGCGAAAGCAUUUACCAAGGAUGUUUUCAUUAA
rnacentral:rRNA from 1 species